rnacentral:rRNA from 1 species
UCCCAGACUCCUACGGGAGGCAGCAGUGGGGGAUAUUGCACAAUGGGGGGAACCCUGAUGCAGCGACGCUGCGUGGGUGAAGAAGCGCCUCGGCGCGUAAAGCCCUGUCAGCAGGGAAGAAAAUGACGGUACCUGAAGAAGAAGCCCCGGCUAACUACGUGCCAGCAGCCGCGGUAAUACGUAGGGGGCAAGCGUUAUCCGGAUUCACUGGGUGUAAAGGGAGCGUAGACGGCGGCGCAAGUCUGGAGUGAAAGCCCGGGGCCCAACCCCGGGACUGCUCUGGAAACUGCGGCGCUGGAGUACGGGAGGGGCAGGCGGAAUUCCUGGUGUAGCGGUGAAAUGCGUAGAUAUUAGGAGGAACACCAGUGGCGAAGGCGGAUGACUGGACGGCAACUGACGGUGAGGCGCGAAAGCGUGGGGAGCAAACAGGAUUAGAUACCCCUGUAG